rnacentral:rRNA from 1 species
CGGACGGGUGAGUAAUGCUUGGGAAUCUGGCUUAUGGAGGGGGAUAACUACGGGAAACUGUAGCUAAUACCGCGUAAUAUCUUCGGAUUAAAGGGUGGGACUUUCGGGCCACCUGCCAUAAGAUGAGCCCAAGUGGGAUUAGGUAGUUGGUGGGGUAAAGGCCUACCAAGCCGACGAUCUCUAGCUGGUCUGAGAGGAUGACCAGUCACACUGGAACUGAGACACGGUCCAGACUCCUACGGGAGGCAGCAGUGGGGAAUAUUGCACAAUGGGGGGAACCCUGAUGCAGCCAUGCCGCGUGAAUGAAGAAGGCCUUCGGGUUGUAAAGUUCUUUCGGUGAUGAGGAAGGUGUUUGUUUUAAUAGAGCAAGCAAUUGACGUUAGUCACAGAAGAAGCACCGGCUAACUCCGUGCCAGCAGCCGCGGUAAUACGGAGGGUGCGAGCGUUAAUCGGAAUGACUGGGCGUAAAGGGCACGCAGGCGGUGACUUAAGUGAGAUGUGAAAGCCCCGAGCUUAACUUGGGAAUUGCAUUCCAUACUGGGUCGCUAGAGUAUUUUAGGGAGGGGUAGAAUUCCACGUGUAGCGGUGAAAUGCGUAGAGAUGUGGAGGAAUACCGAAGGCGAAGGCAGCCCCUUGGGAAUAUACUGACGCUCAUGUGCGAAAGCGUGGGGAGCAAACAGGAUUAGAUACCCUGGUAGUCCACGCUGUAAACGCUGUCGAUUUGGGGAUUGGGCUUAGAGCUUGGUGCCCGUAGCUAACGUGAUAAAUCGACCGCCUGGGGAGUACGGCCGCAAGGUUAAAACUCAAAUGAAUUGACGGGGGCCCG